GUGGUUCCUCAGGCCCUUUGCAAUGGGCUGCCCUACAACGUCACGCCCUUCAACCAGUCCUGUAAUACAUAUCCCUGCACCGUACCUGAGUGGGUGGUGGGGCCGUGGAGUCCGUGCUCUCACUGGUGCGGUCUCGGCCUCCAGCGCCGGCUCGUGGCAUGCGGAAUGUCUUUGGUGGAAGGAGCGACGCCCCUCUCUGCAGCUCGCUUCCUGGGCGCUGGGAAAUGUUCUAGAGAACAGCCGGUGGACGUGAAGUUGUGUAAAGGAUCUUGUAUACAAGUUGACUGCAAGCUGCCAAGCAACCGUCUACACCCGGCUUGCUAUCACUUGCUUGGAGAAACUCCCAUUGAAAGAGACCACAAGAAGGUGUCGUGAACUUCCUAGGAAUUUGCAACUCGGUGAACUUGGG